rnacentral:rRNA from 1 species
UACAGAGGGGGCAAGCGUUGUCCGGAAUCAUUGGGCGUAAAGCGCGUGUAGGCGGCCCGAUAAGUCCGCUGUGAAAGUCCAGGGCUCAACCCUGGGAUGCCGGUGGAUACUGUCGGGCUCGAGUCCGGAAGAGGAGUGUGGGAAUUCCUGGUGUAGCGGUGAAAUGCGCAGAUAUCAGGAGGAACACCAAUGGCGAAGGCAGCUCGCUGGGACGGUACUGACACUGAGACGCGAAAGCGUGGGGAGCAAACAGG